AUUGAACGCUGGCGGCAGGCCUAACACAUGCAAGUCGAGCGGCAGCGGGAAAGUAGCUUGCUACUUUUGCCGGCGAGCGGCGGACGGGUGAGUAAUGCCUGGGAAAUUGCCCAGUCGAGGGGGAUAACAGUUGGAAACGACUGCUAAUACCGCAUACGCCCUACGGGGGAAAGCAGGGGACCUCCGGGCCUUGCGCGAUUGGAUAUGCCCAGGUGGGAUUAGCUAGUUGGUGAGGUAAUGGCUCACCAAGGCGACGAUCCCUAGCUGGUCUGAGAGGAUGAUCAGCCACACUGGAACUGAGACACGGUCCAGACUCCUACGGGAGGCAGCAGUGGGGAAUAUUGCACAAUGGGGGAAACCCUGAUGCAGCCAUGCCGCGUGUGUGAAGAAGGCCUUCGGGUUGUAAAGCACUUUCAGCGAGGAGGAAAGGUUGUUGGCUAAUAUCCAACAGCUGUGACGUUACUCGCAGAAGAAGCACCGGCUAACUCCGUGCCAGCCGCCGCCGUAACAC
rnacentral:rRNA from 1 species